GAUGAAGCAAGGGAGUGAACGAUGAAGAGGUCAACCGCACGUCAGUUUUAUCAGCAGUACUUUUUAGCGACAAAAGGAGUGUCCUGGCUGGCCCGCCAGUGCGCCGAGCAGCGGCUGAAAAUGCUGGAAGAAUUGAUGCAGUGGGAGGUUACGCAAACGACUUCUGAACGCUGACUUGCCUCGAUCAUGUGUGACUGAGUAUUGGUGCUUAUCACCCGCCAGCAAAAUGUUUUUGCUGGCUUUUUUC
rfam:Enterobacter sp. 638, complete genome.